CCCACCCCCUUUGCUUUUUCCUUCAUCUGCCGUUUCCUUUUUCUCCCCCAGCAGCGGUAUGCGUCUCACUUCCCGAUUAUGUGCAGUGAGCGAUGUGCGUACAAGUCAGGCAGCGAGUAGUGUAAAUAGAGUAGAUGAGAGCUAAAAGGACUCGAAGAGGAGGGAAAAGAGGAAGGUGAAGAGAAAACCUGAGUGGUUUGAUGAGGACAGAUGCAAGCUAGAGUUUGUGAAGCGCUUGGAUUUACCCAUGUGAAGUGUCCACAUCUUAAUUCCUGCUGGCAAAGGGCACAAUUAAGUUGCUGCAUCCCUUCUUUUCUUGCUCAUCAGAACUCAUUUGGGCAUCUGGGCAACUAAGGCAGAGGAAAUGCAUUUAUUGAGGAAGGUCUGUGCUGAAUAAGGGCCAGAAGCAGCACCAGAGGAAUAUUCAGAUACAGGCAAAAACAAUAUUGCUGCUUUCCUUUCCUACUUGUCCAUUUUCUCAGAAUACUUCUACUGGGAUGUACAAUACACAACAAAUGUCC